rnacentral:rRNA from 1 species
GACGAACGCUGGCGGCGUGCCUAAUACAUGCAAGUCGAGCGAGCGGCGGACGGGUGAGUAAUGUCUGGGGAUCUGCCAGAUAGAGGGGGAUAACUACUGGAAACGGUGGCUAAUACCGCAUAACAUCGGAUGAACCCAGAUGGGAUUAGCUAGUAGGUGGGGUAAAGGCUCACCAAGGCGACGAUCGCUAGCUGGUCUGAGAGGAUGAUCAGCCACACUGGGACUGAGACACGGCCCAGACUCCUACGGGAGGCAGCAGUGCGGAAUAUUGCACAAUGGGCGCAAGCCUGAUGCAGCCAUGCCGCGUGUAUGAAGAAGGCCUUAGGGUUGUAAAGUACUUUCAGCGGGGAGGCGUUACCCGCAGAAGAAGCACCGGCUAACUCCGUGCCAGCAGCCGCGGUAAUAC